rnacentral:lncRNA from 1 species
AUAAUUCCGAUCAUUUUUAAUUUUUUUGGGCUUUUUUUCAACUAAGUUUUUAAGAAGUAUACAAAUUUUUAGUUAAGAUCAAUGAUUCAUUCAUUAGUUAUUGAGGUUUAAAUCUGUUAUAGAUAUUAUUAGGAUUUGAUUAUGAUUUGAUUUAGGAUUUAAGAUUUGAUUAGGAUUUGAUUUAGGAUUAGGGUUUGAUUUAGGAUUUAGAAUUUGGUUAGGAUAUGGUUUAGGAUUUAGGAUUUGAUUUAGGAUUUAAGAUUUGGUUUAGGAUUUAAGAUUUGGUUACGAUUUGGUUUAGGAUUUACGAUUUAGGAUUAGGAUUUUAUUAGGAUUUGAUUUAGGAUUAGGGUUUGGUUUUGGAUUUAGGAUUUGAUUAAGAUUUGAUUAAGAUUUGAUUUAGGAUUUAAGAUUUGAUUAGGGUUUGAUUUAGGAUUUGGUUAGGAUUUGGUUUAGGAUUUAGGAUUUUAUUAGGGUUUGUUUAGGAUUUAAAAUUUAGUUAAUAUUUGGCCUAAAUUUUGAAUGAAGUCGAAAAGGAUUUUAACUAGGAUUAAAUUAAGAUUGAAUUGAGAUAUAUUUGAAAUAUAUUUGUGAUCAUUCUUAUAUUUCUUUAAUAUUUCUUAUUAUUGCUUUAUAAUUCCUUUGAAUUUUCUUUGAAUUUGAUUAAAGCUUACUUAGCAUUGUUAUGAUCUAAUAAGAGUUUAGUUAGUAUUCUAUUAGAGUUCGGAUUUUGUUGUUGCAAUUUCCAUUCUA